GACGAACGCUGGCGGCAUGCCUAACACAUGCAAGUCGAACGGAGUAAAGAGCUUCGGUUUUUUACUUAGUGGCGGACGGGUGAGUAACGCGUGAGCAACCUGCCUUUCAGUGGGGGACAACAGUUGGAAACGACUGCUAACACCGCAUAAUGUGUACGGAUCGCAUGGUCUGUACACCAAAGAUUAUAUCGCUGAAAGAUGGGCUCGCGUAUGAUUAGAUAGUUGGUGAGGUAACGGCUCACCAAGUCGACGAUCAUUAGCCGGACUGAGAGGUUGAACGGCCACAUUGGGACUGAGACACGGCCCAGACUCCUACGGGAGGCAGCAGUGAGGAAUAUUGGGCAAUGGGCGCAAGCCUGACCCAGCAAUGCCGCGUGAAGGAUGAAGGUUUUCGGAUUGUAAACUUCUUUUGUCAAGGACGAUAGUGACGGUACUUGACGAAUAAGCCACGGCUAACUACGUGCCAGCCGCCGCUGUAACAC
rnacentral:rRNA from 1 species